GAGUUUUGAUCUUGGCUCAGGACGAACGCUGGCGGCGUGCUUAACACAUGCAAGUCGAACGGUAAGGCUCCAGCUUGCUGGGGUACACGAGUGGCGAACGGGUGAGUAACACGUGGGUGACCUGCCCUGCACUUCGGGAUAAGCCUGGGGAACUGGGUCUAAUACCGGAUAGGACCGCACCGUGAGGGUGUGGUGGAAAGUUUUUUCUAGUGUGGGAGUGGGCCCGGCCGGCC
rnacentral:rRNA from 1 species